rnacentral:tRNA from 1 species
GGCUUGUUAGUUUAAGUGAAUAGUUUAUUGUAAAUAAACAGGGGGUUGAGCUA